rnacentral:rRNA from 1 species
AUUGAACGCUGGCGGCAGGCCUAACACAUGCAAGUCGAGCGGAUGAAGGGAGCUUGCUCCUGGAUUCAGCGGCGGACGGGUGAGUAAUGCCUAGGAAUCUGCCUGGUAGUGGGGGAUAACGUCCGGAAACGGGCGCUAAUACCGCAUACGUCCUGAGGGAGAAAGUGGGGGAUCUUCGGACCUCACGCUAUCAGAUGAGCCUAGGUCGGAUUAGCUAGUUGGUGGGGUAAAGGCCUACCAAGGCGACGAUCCGUAACUGGUCUGAGAGGAUGAUCAGUCACACUGGAACUGAGACACGGUCCAGACUCCUACGGGAGGCAGCAGUGGGGAAUAUUGGACAAUGGGCGAAAGCCUGAUCCAGCCAUGCCGCGUGUGUGAAGAAGGUCUGUGGAUUGUAAAGCACUUUAAGUUGGGAGGAAGGGCAGUAAGUUAAUACCUUGCUGUUUUGACGUUACCAACAGAAUAAGCACCGGCUAACUUCGUG